rnacentral:rRNA from 1 species
UACAGAGGUCUCAAGCGUUGUUCGGAUUCAUUGGGCGUAAAGGGUGCGUAGGUGGCGGGGUAAGUCAGGUGUGAAAUUUCGGAGCUCAACUCCGAAACUGCAUUUGAUACUGCCUUGCUUGAGGACUGGAGAGGAGACUGGAAUUCACGGUGUAGCAGUGAAAAUGCGUAGAGAUCGUGAGGAAGACCAGUGGCGAAGGCGGGGUCUCUGGACAGUUCCUGACACUGAGGCACGAAGGCC